UGGUCAAGCGAAAUACAGCUGACGGUGGAUACCUAGACACGCAGAGGCGAAGAAGGACGUGGCGACCGACGAAAAGCUUCGGGGAGCUGGCAGCAAGCACUGAGCCGAAGAUAUCCGAAUGGGGCAACCCCCUUGUACAGCCUGUUGAAUCCAUAGACAGGUAUGAGCCAACCCAGCCAACUGAAACAUCUUAGUAGCUGGAGGAAAAGAAAUCAAACGAGAUUCUCCCAGUAGUGGUGAGCGAAAGGAGAACAGCCUAAACCAGAGUACAAGUAUUCUGGGGUAGUGGGACAGCGAGAUGGAAGCACUAGACUAGACGAAACGAUUGACAAAUCGUACCAAAGAGGGUGAUAGUCCCGUAGUCGAAAGUUGAAGUGCUACUAGCUGAAUCCCGAGUAGCUAGGGACACGGGAAAUCCCUAGUGAAUCAGCCGAGACCACUCGGUAAGGCUAAAUACUACUGCGUGAGCGAUAGAGCAACAGUACCGCGAGGGAAAGGUGAAAAGAACCCCGAUAAGGGGAGUGAAAUAGAACAUGAAACCGUCAGUUGACAAGCAGUGGAAGGAUGAUUCAACGUCCGACCGCGUGCCUGUUGAAGAAUGAGCCGGCGAGUUAUAGUCACUGGUAUGGCGAAUAGCCACAGCGAAAGCGAGUCUGAAGUGGGCGAAUUAUCAGUGUAUAUAGACCCGAACCUGGGUGAUCUAACCAUGGCCAGGAUGAAGCUUGGGUAACACCAAGUGGAGGUCCGCACCGACCGAUGUUGAAAAAUCGGCGGAUGAGCUGUGGUUAGGGGUGAAAUGCCAAUCGAACCCAGAGCUAGCUGGUUCUCCCCGAAAUGUGUUGAGGCGCAGCGGUAAGUGAUAAUUGCUGGGGGUAAAGCACUGUUUCGGUGCGGGCGGCCUCAAGCUGUACCAAAUCGAGACAAACUCAGAAUACCAGCAACAAUCUUACUAGUGAGACGGUGGGGGAUAAGCUUCAUCGUCAAGAGGGAAACAGCCCAGACCGCCAGCUAAGGUCCCCAAAUCAAAGUUAAGUGGCAAAGGAGGUGGGAGUGCACAGACAACCAGGAGGUUUGCCUAGAAGCAGCCAUCCUUGAAAGAGUGCGUAAUAGCUCACUGGUCAAGCGCUCCUGCGCCGAAAAUGAACGGGACUAAACUUUGUACCGAAGCUGCGGACUUGUAGCGAUACAAGUGGUAGGGGAGCGUUCUGCGAUAGGGUGAAGCACUAGCGGCAAGCAGGUGUGGACGAAGCAGAAGUGAGAAUGUCGGCUUGAGUAGCGCAAAUAUUGGUGAGAAUCCAAUACCCCGAAACCCUAAGGGUUCCUCCACAAGGCUCGUCCGUGGAGGGUUAGUCAGGACCUAAGGCGAGGCCGAACGGCGUAGUCGAUGGACAACGGGCGAACAAUCCCGUACUGAAGAUUAGUUGUGCAGAGGGACGGAGAAGGCACGCACCAGCCAGAUGUUGGUUACUGGCGCAAUUAACCGAGGCAUCGAGAAGCGGCGAAAACGCUUCGAGCUGGGGUUAAGAGACCGAGGGUCUACGGACCCGAAGUGGUAGCGGUCAAGCUUCCAAGAAAAGCUCUAAACACGUUAACUAAUCGUCACCUGUACCCAAAACCGACACAGGUAGGGAGGUAGAGAAUACUAAGGGGCGCGAGAUAACUCUCUCUAAGGAACUCGGCAACAUGGCCCCGUAACUUCGGAAGAAGGGGUGCCUACGCAAGUAGGUCGCAGUGAAGAGAUCCAGGCGACUGUUUACCAAAAACACAGGUCUCCGCAAAGUCAAUAGACGAGGUAUGGGGGCUGACGCCUGCCCAGUGCCGGAAGGUUAAGGAAGUCGGUCAGGGCCUUGAGCCUAAAGCUGGCGACCGAAGCCCCGGUGAACGGCGGCCGUAACUAUAACGGUCCUAAGGUAGCGAAAUUCCUUGUCGGGUAAGUUCCGACCCGCACGAAAGGCGUAACGAUCUGGAUGGUGUCUCAGAGAGAGACUCGGCGAAAUAGGAAUGUCUGUGAAGAUACGGACUACCUGCACCUGGACAGAAAGACCCUAUGAAGCUUUACUGUAGCCUGGAAUGGUGUUCGGGCUUUGCUUGCGCAGAAUAGGUGGGAGGCAAUGAUUCACUCCUUGUGGGGAGUGAGGAGCCGCAAUGUGAGAUACCACUCUGGCGAGGCUAGAAUUCUAACCCGCGACCGUUAUCCGGUCGGGGAACAGUUUCAGGUGGGCAGUUUGACUGGGGCGGUCGCCUCCUAAAGUGUAACGGAGGCGCGCAAAGGUUCCCUCAGGCUGGUUGGAAAUCAGCCGCAGAGUGUAAAGGCAAAAGGGAGCUUGACUGCAAGAGUGACAACUCGCGCAGGGUGGAAACACGGCCUUAGUGAUCCGACGGUAGUGAGUGGAAGCGCCGUCGCUCAACGGAUAAAAGUUACUCUAGGGAUAACAGGCUGAUCUCCCCCAAGAGUCCACAUCGACGGGGAGGUUUGGCACCUCGAUGUCGGCUCAUCGCAACCUGGGGCGGAAGUACGUCCCAAGGGUUGGGCUGUUCGCCCAUUAAAGCGGUACGUGAGCUGGGUUCAGAACGUCGUGAGACAGUUCGGUCCAUAUCCGGUGCAGGCGUUAGAGUAUUGCGAGGAGCCUUCCUUAGUACGAGAGGACCGGGAAGGACGAACCGCUGGUGUACCAGUUAUCGUGCCAACGGUAAACGCUGGGUAGCCAAGUUCGGAGCGGAUAACCGCUGAAAGCAUCUAAGUGGGAAGCCCACCUCCAGAUGAGUACUCUCAUGAAUUAAAUUCAGUAAGGUCACCCACAGAACAUGGGUUGAUAGGUCAGUGGUGGAAGCGUGGUAACACGUGCAGCCGACUGAUACUAACAGACCGAGGGCUUGACCACAA
rnacentral:rRNA from 1 species